UACGGAGGCAGCAGUGGGGAAUAUUGCACAAUGGGCGCAAGCCUGAUGCAGCCAUGCCGCGUGUAUGAAGAAGGCCUUCGGGUUGUAAAGUACUUUCAGUCGUGAGGAAGGUGUUAAGGUUAAUAACCUUAGCAAUUGACGUUAGCGACAGAAGAAGCACCGGCUAACUCCGUGCCAGCAGCCGCGGUAAUACGGAGGGUGCGAGCGUUAAUCGGAAUUACUGGGCGUAAAGGGCACGCAGGCGGUUAAUUAAGUUGGAUGUGAAAUCCCCGGGCUUAACCUGGGAAUGGCAUUCAAGACUGGUUAGCUAGAGUCUUGUAGAGGGGGUAGAAUUCCAUGUGUAGCGGUGAAAUGCGUAGAGAUGUGGAGGAAUACCGGUGGCGAAGGCGGCCCCUGGGACAAAGACUGACGCUCAUGUGCGAAAGCGUGGGGAGCGAAACAGGGAUUAGAUACC
rnacentral:rRNA from 1 species